CAGGAGGCCGGACAGGCAAAGUGGUUUCCUCCAGGGCAGGACUCUUUGUCUGCAGACCUACUUACAGCCACCGAGCGUCAGAAGGCCCAUCUCCUGGGGAAUGGAAAAGUGCCCAACCGCUGGGAGGCCUCAAGCUGGAGAGCUACGGGGGAAGCCGGGCAGGUGUGGGGCUGGGAGAAGCUACUAAGCCCCAGGCAGGGGCUGGAAGGGCGACUGGAGAGCCAAGCCCCUGCGAGUGAGGAGAGAGAAUGGCCAAAGGCAGAGCCACAGGGUAGACCUUUGCACCUUGGGAGGAGAGAUUUGGAGAAUGGUGCUGCCUGGGCCCGUUUGCCCCCACCAAACCGCAGGGGUACCAUGGCCCUGACCUGCGUUCAGAGGGCCGAGUCAAUGUCACAGGAAGGGGAAGAGACAUGUGCCCACAGACCCUGUGGUCAUGGAGGGGGUGGAAGAUCUCUGGAGGGCAGCAGGGCCACAGCAAGGCUCUGAGGUCCUGAGUCUUCUCCGUCCGUGGACUUAAACUCUGCGUGUUUACAGCUGUUCUGUGCCUGGGUCCAGGCUCUAGUGAGAAAUAAACUGCCUUCAGAGCCAGGUGACAGCAAAAGAAAUUUUAUUCCCAUUUUCUAGGGGACAGAAACAGAGCCCAGUGGUGCCUAGCAUGUUUCUGGCAAGGGUAGUGAAAAGACCACUUCCUUUUGGGGGAAGUCUUUCAAUUAAGAAAAACACACGCAACUCCUGGGCGUGGCUCCACCUGUACCCAGGACAGGGCCUACCACUCCAGGGGCUCCCAGGCUGGAUUUUCCACCAGAGCAGUCUUGGGGGCAGGAGCCUGUUAGAAAUGCAGAUCCCCAGGGACCUGCAGCGGUCUGGGCAGUACCUCCAACACAGCUGCUUAAGGGGAGGCAGUCCGGCCCUCAUCUGGGAGCGCUGUGCUGACGCUGACUGCACGCUAGGGCUCUCGGGGUUGGGUGGACAGGGUUUCUCCGAGAGAUGGGCUCCCAGCAGCCAGAGCACACUGUGGGUGUCAAGCUGCUGGUGGAAAGCAAGCUGUUCCCUGAGACCAUGACAGGGUGAAGGUGGGAAUCACCAGCCCCCACACUCACCAAGAAAUGCUUUUGCUACAUGCUGGGGCUUUUUUCUUUUUUUGAGAGGGAGUCUCACUCCGUCGCCCAGGCUGGAGUACAGUGGUGCGAUCUCGGCUCACUGCAACCUCUGCCUCCUUGGUUCAAGCGAUUCUCAUGCCUCAGCCUCCUGAGUAGCUGGCAUUACAGGCACACACCACUAUGCCCAGCUAAUUUUUGUAUUUUUAGUAGAGAUGGGGUUUUGCCAUGUUGGCCAGGCUGGUCUCGAACUCUUGACCUCAAGUGAUCCACCCACCUUGGCCUCCCAAAGUGCUGGGAUAAUAGGCAUGAGCCACCAUGCCCGGCCAUGCUGGGGCUUUUCUAAGAACACAAGCACACCGGAGGGUAAGACAAGAUUCUGGAGAGGCACAGACCCAGAAAGCCAGGGGCACACAGGAGCCUCGCCAGCGAGGGCGGCACAGGCCAUGCAUGCGGACCCUCAAAUCUCAUGUGGAGGCUGCAUCGAGCUCAGUGCCAAGAGGAAGCAGAGCAAAGCAUGUGACCACCUCUCUGAAGCCAUCUUUGUGGACAAAUGAUGUAGGAACUCAAAAAAAUGCAGGCUUGGCUAGGCGAAGUGGCUCAUGCCUGCAAUCCAAGCACUUUGGGAGGAUCGCUUGAGCCCAGGAGUUUGAGACCAGUCUGGACAACAUAGCAAGACCUUGUCUCUACAAAAAAUAAAAAAAUUAGCUGGGCAUGGUGGCACAUGCCUAUAGUUCCUGCUACCUGGGAGGCUGAGGUAGAAGGAUCCCUUAAGCCCAGGAGUUCGAGGCUGCAAUGAGUUAUGAUUGCACCACUGCCCUCGAGCUUGGGCAACAGAGACCAACCCUGUCUCAAUUAAAAAAAAAAAAAAAAAAAAAA